rnacentral:rRNA from 1 species
GACGAACGCUGGCGGCGUGCCUAAUACAUGCAAGUUGAGCGCUGAAGGUUGGUACUUGUACCAACUGGAUGAGUAGCGAACGGGUGAGUAACGCGUGGGGAAUCUGCCUUUGAGCGGGGGACAACAUUUGGAAACGAAUGCUAAUACCGCAUAAAAACUUUAAACACAAGUUUUAAGUUUGAAAGAUGCAAUUGCAUCACUCAAAGAUGAUCCCGCGUUGUAUUAGCUAGUUGGUGAGGUAAAGGCUCACCAAGGCGAUGAUACAUAGCCGACCUGAGAGGGUGAUCGGCCACAUUGGGACUGAGACACGGCCCAAACUCCUACGGGAGGCAGCAGUAGGGAAGCUUAGGCAAUGGACGAAAGUCUGACCGAGCAACGCCGCGUGAGUGAAGAAGGUUUUCGGAUCGUAAAACUCUGUUGGUAGAGAAGAACGUUGGUGAGAGUGGAAAGCUCAUCAAGUGACGGUAACUACCCAGAAAGGGACGGCUAACUACGUG